rnacentral:lncRNA from 1 species
UUUGAUCUCAUUUGACCCUCUGUAAACCAAAUUGCUAGGUAAACGAAUGCGUUGGCGAAGACGGUUCGGCAAUCCGACGAGCCGUUACAAAGUUAUUAAAGAAAUGGACGUUUAGGCUUCGGGUCCGCCGGGAGGGCCGAGGCGACGUCGUAAAAUCAUGGAAAUGGAUUUGAGGCAUCGUGGCACAUAACCGAAGACCUAUAAUUUUCGGGGCUACGAAGCGGAGCACAGUUGAGGCGCAGUUGCAGUAUCGGGCCGUGCCGGAUACGGGUGCCGCGGGAGGCCGAUUGCAAGUGUCGACAAGCAAUCGGAACGCAAAUUAAGGUGGGUUGGUUUACCGAAGCGACUAGGUCGCCUUUAUGUCUAAGAAAAUAUGAUUUCUUAUGAUGCAUAUAGAAAUGAAUGAUAAUGAAUGCAAGCUGAUAAAUGCAUGUUGAUAAAUGCUAGAGAGCAUGCGAAAUAAAGUAUAAAUGCUAAGUUGAUGCAUGUAAAUGAUAUAGAGAUUAUAAAAUGCAUGUUGGUAAAUAAUAUAAAUGAUGCAUGUUAACGAUAGUGCUUAGAGCAAGAUGCUAAGUAGAAAGCAUGAUGUUGAUAACAUGAUACAAACGCCAAGUAGAAUGCAUGAGAUAAGAAUGCUAGAGUAUAAUGAUAAGCAUGAUAUGGAAAUAGUAAAUACAAGUACAUGUUAAGAAUGCUAAGUAAUGCAUAGUGACAUAGUGUAAAUCAUGCUAAGUGACAAGCAUAAAGUAUAUAAUACGUGGUGGCCGUGUUGCAUGCAUAGAAAGGUUAAUGUAAGAAUGCUAAAGAUAAUGUAUGAAUGCAUGUUGCAUGUUAAAGAAUGCCCAGUAAAGGACUUGUGUAUAUGGACUUAAGUGCACCUAUAGAUCGAGUAGCAUUGAAUCUAGUGUCGAGGACAUAGGUUAAACAGAUGUGAUUUGAACCUAAUGUAAAGAACAUAGGUUAAAUAAGAAUGAUGUUAAACCUAAUGUAGAGAACACAGGUCGUGAAAUGAAAGGUGCUUAACCUAGAGUCAAGUGAACCUAGGUUGGAAAGAAUGAUGAUCCUAGUGUAAUAAACCUAGGUUAAGAAUGUGAAAGCAAUAAACCUAAAGUAUUAACUUAGGUUGUGUAAUGGACAAAGAACCUAGAGUCAAGUAGACCUAGGAUGUAAAGGACAAUGGACCUAAGUAGGUCGAUACCAUAGGGUUGUGACUAACCCUCGAGUUACGUGAAAUGGAUUCCGGAAUCCCAAAGCUUGUUGAUAUACCUAGAGUGGUAUCGGGUGUGUGCGACGAUUUCGCCGCCCAAGGGCUAAAGAACCAUUGUCGUGGCGUGUGCGACGAUUUCGCCGCCGGAUGGUUAGCCAGUUUGUGGAUCCUACCACCUGUUGACUGAACCACUGUCGUGGCGUUUGUGCGACGAUUUCGCCGCCGGGUGGCUAAGUCAUGGACCUAGGCCGUUGUUGGGUGAGGUGCGAUUCGUUCGCCGCCAGACGGCUAGGACAGGAGUACGGUGAGCUGUUGCCAGCUGAGGUGCAUGUGAGAGUUCCUUCACCUCGAGCUAGACAGUGCGCGGACUAUCCGCGAUUGAUUGACUCAAGACCGAGUCGGGUGGCAUAGAGAACUAAGGUAAGGGAAACCUUAGGAAAGAAUGGCCAGUGGAAAAGUGCAACAAAGUGUAGAGAAUAAAGAAUAAGUAAAGAAUAAAGAUCGGCUAAGGAAUAAGAAUAGCUGAUAAAGUAAAGAAAGGUUACAAGUAAAGAAUAGCUAAGAGCUAAAAGUAAACAUUAAACGACAAGAGUAAAGAAUGAUUAAGAAUAUAAUUAGCGUUAAAGUAACCUACUUGCAUGAUUACGGGUAUUGCAUAUUGCAUUUCGUGAGGCAUGG